UACGAAGGGGGCGAGCGUUGUUCGGAUUUACUGGGCGUAAAGGGCGCGUAGGCGGCCUCGCAAGUCGAGUGUGAAAGCCCCGGGCUCAACCUGGGGAAUUGCGCUCGAGACUGUGGUGCUGGAGUUCGGGAGAGGAGCGUGGAAUUCCCAGUGUAGAGGUGAAAUUCGUAGAUAUUCGGAAGAACACCAGUGGCGAAGGCGGCUCACUGGACCGGUAUUGACGCUGAGGGUGCGAAAAGCGUGGGGGAGCAAAACAGG
rnacentral:rRNA from 1 species